UAUUAUUGUAUGUAAUACAUGUAUAUCAGAGUAGUAAAGUUUGACUGUAAACUUAGAGAAUUUGGCGGUGUUUUAGUCUUUUCAGAGGAAUCUGUUCUGUAAUUGAUAAUACACGAUUAGUUAUACUUAAUUUAUUAGUUUAUAUACCGCCGUCGUAAGAAUAUCUUGUAGAGGGAAAUAAAUUUCUUAAUUUAAGAGAUUAAAAAUUUAAGUCAGGUCAAGGUGUAAUUUAUAAUUAAGGGGAAAUGGAUUACAAUAGAGAUAUUUAUAUGGAUUAUUAAUUUAAAGUUGAUAUAAAGGUGGAUUUGAUUGUAAAAUAAUUUUAAUUGUUUUUUUGAUUUAAGCUCUAAAAUGUGUACAUAUCGCCCGUCGCUCUCGNNGUCUAAUGAG
rnacentral:rRNA from 1 species